rnacentral:tRNA from 1 species
CAUAGCUCAACGGCAGAGCAUCCGACUGUUAAUCGGAAGGUUACUGGUUCGAAUCCAGUUG